GAUGAACGCUGGCGGCGUGCCUAAUACAUGCAAGUCGAGCGAACAGACGAGGAGCUUGCUCCUCUGACGUUAGCGGCGGACGGGUGAGUAACACGUGGAUAACCUACCUAUAAGACUGGGAUAACUUCGGGAAACCGGAGCUAAUACCGGAUAAUAUAUUGAACCGCAUGGUUCAAUAGUGAAAGACGGUUUUGCUGUCACUUAUAGAUGGAUCCGCGCCGCAUUAGCUAGUUGGUAAGGUAACGGCUUACCAAGGCGACGAUGCGUAGCCGACCUGAGAGGGUGAUCGGCCACACUGGAGCUGAGACACGGUCCAGACUCCUACGGGAGGCAGCAGUAGGGAAUCUUCCGCAAUGGGCGAAAGCCUGACGGAGCAGCGCCGCGUGAGUGAUGAAGGUCUUCGGAUCGUAAAACUCUGUUAUUAGGGAAGAACAAAUGUGUAAGUAACUAUGCACGUCUUGACGGUACCUAAUCAGAAAGCCACGGCUAACUACGUG
rnacentral:rRNA from 1 species